CAGGGGGUGCAAACGUUGCUCGGAAUUAUUGGGCGUAAAGCGCGCGUAGGCGGUGACUCAAGUCGGAUGUGAAAGCCCUUGGCUUAACCGAGGAAGUGCAUCCGAAACUGAGUCGCUAGAGUACGAUAGAGGGUCGCGGAAUUCCCGGUGUAGAGGUGAAAUUCGUAGAUAUCGGGAGGAACACCGGUGGCGAAGGCGGCGACCUGGGUCGAUACUGACGCUGAGGCGCGAAAGCGUGGGGAGCAAACAGGAUUAGAUACCCUGGUAGUCCACGCCGUAAACGAUGGGUGCUAGAUGUUCCUGGUAUUGACCCCGGGGGCGUCGUAGCUAACGCGUUAAGCACCCCGCCUGGGGAGUACGGCCGCAAGGCUA
rnacentral:rRNA from 1 species